rnacentral:lncRNA from 1 species
CAUAAAACACUAUUCAUUAUCUUUUCUAUCAAAACCCUAGCCAUCAUAUUUUUAAAAAAGAAUAUGAGCUUAAAUAUGGAGAAACAAACCCUAGAAAAACAUUAUUCAUCUUCUCAUGCCUUUCUUAAAAAAAAAAACCCUUAACCUCGUCUCUCUCUAUCUAAAGCCAAAACUCUCCCUUAACUUGUCUCAUUUCCAACCUUCAUUUUCAAAGAGAACAUCACCGUUAUCUUCAUCUCAAAUCCUUCUAAUAAAGCCCUUAAUCAUCUUAAAACAACAACUCAUGCAUCAACACCAAUUAAAGAUAAAGAGAAAAAAAAACCCCUGAAACUUCUGUAUUUGAUUUUACUCUCUUUUGACCUCCAAACAAGGUAAAAUCACCGUUAUUCUUCUCCCCUUAAUGAGUACUACACAACCAUACAAGUUUCAUAACUUAGUAACCUCUUUGUGAGAAUCUAAAUAGAGAAAACCGAGAUAACAAUAAGAGAACCUUAACCACUAAACAUUCAAAGUGUUGAGUCUCCCUCAUCGGUUAGCGGUGACCUGCAUCGCUGCACAAGGAGUGACACAUAAUGCUAGCCCAUCCAAGCGUCGAUCAAUUAUUGAUGGCGCAUGGAAUGAUGCGCCAAACAUGAUAACCCACUCUUGGAGUAUGAUUGUCACAUGCCAACACUGCAUCUCUCGGUUCCAUAGUAUUUCUCC